rnacentral:tRNA from 1 species
GGGCCGGUAGCUCAGUUGGGAGAGCGUCGCGUUCGCAAUGCGAAGGUCGGGUGUUCGAUCCACCUCCGGUCCA